rnacentral:lncRNA from 1 species
CCUCAGAAAAUUGAGGAAAUCAAGCACUUUCUGCUCACUGCCUGGCGAAAGGAUGCCAAAUCUGUCAAGAUCAAGAAAAAGAAGGCAAUGCGAAAUUUGAAGUUCAAUUUAGCAGAUACCUGUCCACCACGGUCAUAGGGAAAAAGAGAAGGCAGAGAAACUGAAGCAGUCCCUGCCCCCUAAUUUGGCAGUGAAGGAGCUGA